GCCUAAUACAUGCAAGUAGAACGCUGAAGAGAGGAGCUUGCUCUUCUUGGAUGAGUUGCGAACGGGUGAGUAACGCGUAGGUAACCUGCCUUGUAGCGGGGGAUAACUAUUGGAAACGAUAGCUAAUACCGCAUAACAAUGGAUGACACAUGUCAUUUAUUUGAAAGGGGCAAUUGCUCCACUACAAGAUGGACCUGCGUUGUAUUAGCUAGUAGGUGAGGUAACGGCUCACCUAGGCGACGAUACAUAGCCGACCUGAGAGGGUGAUCGGCCACACUGGGACUGAGACACGGCCCAGACUCCUACGGGAGGCAGCAGUAGGGAAUCUUCGGCAAUGGGGGCAACCCUGACCGAGCAACGCCGCGUGAGUGAAGAAGGUUUUCGGAUCGUAAAGCUCUGUUGUAAGUCAAGAACGAGUGUGAGAGUGGAAAGUUCACACUGUGACGGUAGCUUACCAGAAAGGGACGGCUAACUACGUGCCAGCAGCCGCGGUAAUACGUAGGUCCCGAGCGUUGUCCGGAUUUAUUGGGCGUAAAGCGAGCGCAGGCGGUUUGAUAAGUCUGAAGUUAAAGGCUGUGGCUCAACCAUAGUUCGCUUUGGAAACUGUCAAACUUGAGUGCAGAAGGGGAGAGUGGAAUUCCAUGUGUAGCGGUGAAAUGCGUAGAUAUAUGGAGGAACACCGGUGGCGAAAGCGGCUCUCCGGUCUGUAACUGACGCUGAGGCUCGAAAGCGUGGGGAGCGAACAGGAUUAGAUACCCUGGUAGUCCACGCCGUAAACGAUGAGUGCUAGGUGUUGGAUCCUUUCCGGGAUUCAGUGCCGCA
rnacentral:rRNA from 1 species